UUUUAGGUUGCCACCAACCUGUGUUAAAGGAACCAAAAGUAAGAUGGCAGAGACAUGCUAAAGUUAUUAUUCCUCGCACUCUUUUAAUUGAGAGAGAAAAUCGUGGUGGAGGAGAUGACGGUAAACGCACUAAUGGUCCUAGAAAUAUUCGACAUAAUACAAUAUUAAGAGAAACAUCUGAUAGUGAUGAAGAAGAUGAUGAAUAAAAUUAUUUAAAAACCAU